AGAAUUUGUCACAAAGCUGAUGGGAAAUGUGCCAGCACUCGGCUUCGUUUUAACCCGGAGGAAGAUUUGCAGCAUCAAAAAGAAAUUCAACUGAUAAUCAACUGUCGAAAGGAUUUGUUUUGAAGAAGAAUUUGUCACAAAGCUGAUGGGAAAUGUGGCGGCACUCGGCUUCGUUUCAACCCGGGGGAAGAUUGGCAGCAUCAAUAGAAGCUCAUCUUAAUGUCAACUGUUGAAAGGAUUUGUUUGCAUUAUAUUAUAAGUUUAAAAUACAUUUAAUCUGCAUAUUAGUUGAAGUUUUAUAGGAACAGAACAUUUAACUGGAUCAUGGACUAUCCACCGACGAAGAAUUUGUCAUUGAGCUGAUGGAAAAUGUGUGGCACUCGGCUUCGUUUCAACCCGGAGGAAGAUUUGCAGCAUCAAAAAGAAAUUCAACGGAUAAUCAACUGCCCAAAGAAUUUUGAAGAAGAAGUUGUCACAAAACUGAUGGAAUAUGUGUCGGCACUCGGCUGUAUUUCAACACGGAGGACGUCUGGCAGCAACAAAAAGAAAUUCAACUGAUGAUCAACUGCCCAAAGGAUUUGUUGUGAAGAAGAAUUUGUCAUUGAGUUGAUGGAAAAUGUGUGGCACUCGGCUUCGUUUCAACCCGGAGGAAGAUUUGCAGCAUCAAAAAGAAAUUCAACGGAUAAUCAACUGCCCAAA